rnacentral:ncRNA from 1 species
GUGCCCGUUUGGGUGAAAAGGGAAUUCGGUGUAAGUCCGAAGCGAACCCGUCACUGUAACAGCGAGCGCCAUGCAGAUGCCAUUGGGGAAACCCGAGAAGGCGCAUGGGGUGAUGACCUGAAGCCAGGAGACCUGCUCACAUCUU